rnacentral:rRNA from 1 species
CACUAUGCUCAGCCCUAAAAUUUGAUAGGUCCCUACGCCCCCUAUCCGCCCGGGUACUACGAGCGUUAGCUUAAAACCCAAAGGACUUGGCGGUGCUUCACAUCCGUCUAGAGGAGCCUGUUCUAGAACCGAUAACCCCCGUUAAACCUCACCCUCCCUUGUUAAUGCCGCCUAUAUACCGCCGUCGUCAGCCUACCCUGUGAAGGACUAGAAGUAAGCAAAAUUGGUAAGACCCAAAACGUCAGGUCGAGGUGUAGUGUAUGAGAGGGGAAGAAAUGGGCUACAUUUCCUAAAUCAGGAAAUACGAACAAUGGACUGAAAUAAACAUUAGAAGGUGGAUUUAGCAGUAAGCAGAAAAAUAGAGUGUUCUGCUGAAGUAUGGCAAUAAAGCACGCACAUAUCGCCCGUCACUCUCCCCGAGCUUAACACAAAAACAUACCUAAAAAAUUACAUCUGCAAAGGGGAGGCAAGUCGUAA